rnacentral:rRNA from 1 species
GACGAACGCUGGCGGCGUGCCUAAUACAUGCAAGUCGAGCGGAGUUUCAAGAAGCUUGCUUUUUGAAACUUAGCGGCGGACGGGUGAGUAACACGUGGGCAACCUGCCCCUUAGACUGGGAUAACUCCGGGAAACCGGAGCUAAUACCGGAUAAUCCCUUUCUCCACCUGGAGAGAGGGUGAAAGAUGGCUUCGGCUAUCACUAGGGGAUGGGCCCGCGGCGCAUUAGCUAGUUGGUAAGGUAACGGCUUACCAAGGCGACGAUGCGUAGCCGACCUGAGAGGGUGAUCGGCCACACUGGGACUGAGACACGGCCCAGACUCCUACGGGAGGCAGCAGUAGGGAAUCUUCCGCAAUGGACGAAAGUCUGACGGAGCAACGCCGCGUGAGUGAGGAAGGCCUUCGGGUCGUAAAGCUCUGUUGUGAGGGAAGAAGCGGUACCGUUCGAAUAGGGCGGUACCUUGACGGUACCUCACCAGAAAGCCACGGCUAACUACGUGCCAGCAGCCGCGGUAAU